rnacentral:rRNA from 1 species
AGAACGAACGCUGGCGGCAUGCCUAAUACAUGCAAGUCGAACGAACUCUUCGGAGUUAGUGGCGCACGGGUGCGUAACGCGUGGGAAUCUGCCCCUUGGUUCGGAAUAACAGUUGGAAACGACUGCUAAUACCGGAUGAUGACGAAAGUCCAAAGAUUUAUCGCCAAGGGAUGAGCCCGCGUAGGAUUAGCUAGUUGGUGAGGUAAAGGCUCACCAAGGCAACGAUCCUUAGCU